ACGUGCAUGCUUUCCAUAUGCGCGUAUACGUGAGCCGCACAGCGAGUUGCACACAUGUGGUGGUGGUGGCCGUCAGCCGUGUUUUUUGGCAGACAAUGGUCUGUGGCUUGCUGUGUGUUGAGGGGGGAUGGGUGGCGUACUGGGCUAGUUAGAAAGGUACGCCGCUAGCGCCUAUCCACCCGUUAUUCGUAAAAACGGUGUCCAAUUUGGCGUCUACGCCUCACCUAGCUACUGCCUGGACCGUCGGUAGCGAUGAAAGGUGGGGAGAAAGCUCCUCGUUUCGAGUAGAGUAGACUUAAUGAGCCUCAGCUGGGAGGCCGCCAAAACCCCAAACACAACCAGUCUUAUGUUUGAAAGUGUGAUAGAAGAUGCGCUUCAACGAUUGUUUGGAGCAUCUUCAAAUCGAGUUAUAAAUCUUAGCGGUGGAUCACUCGGUUCGUGGAUCGAUGAAGAACGCAGCUAGCUGCGAUAAAUAGUGCGAAUUGCAGACACAUUGAGCACUAAGAAUUCGAACGCACAUUGCGCCAUCGGGUUCAUUCCCGUUGGCACGUCUGGCUGAGGGUCGAAUUAUUGAAAAUUAUCCGCAUUGAGUAGCUGCUUCGCGCUUGUGAAUCGAAGCGUUGCUCGUGUGGUGUAUUCGGCGAGCUAUGGUUGUGUUUCAUCAUAACCAUACCUUGCUUAGGCUAAGCCAUAUUUCUCGCAAUCAUUUGCUCCAUGCGAGGCGAUGAUGGCCGUCAGUGUUGCUCUCAGAUGCGGCUCCGAGCAUGUGUUGCUUGUUGGUGAUAUAAAGGUUGGGGCUGGCAUCGACAGCUAGUGAGAGUGAUGUGAGAUGGUUGUCACUUUGUUUUGACCUCAGCUCAGUCGUG
rnacentral:rRNA from 1 species